rnacentral:rRNA from 1 species
UACGUAGGGUGCGAGCGUUAAUCGGAAUUACUGGGCGUAAAGCGUGCGUAGGCGGUUCGUUAUGUCUGCUGUGAAAGCCCCGGGCUUAACCUGGGAAUGGCAGUGGAAACUGGCGGGCUUGAGUGUGGCAGAGGGGGGUGGAAUUCUGCGUGUAGCAGUGAAAUGCGUAGAGAUCGGCAGGAACACCCAGGGGGAAACCAGUGGACUGGCACGGUGCUGACGCUCAGGUGCGAAAGCGUGGGGAGCGAACCGG